GGAUGUUUAUGAGGAUAACUAUUAUAUGUAAGAGAAAGAAAUAAAAAAAAAAAGAGGAGAGUCUUCUUCAACCUAGAUGAUUUUUUUUCAAAAGAGAGAUCACUUAAAAAAAAUCUGCUUGUUUUUUUUGCUACAAUUCGAUUAGAGAAGGAGAAGAGAAUUGUUGCAUGCUAAAUUUUGAGCUCAUUUAGGAGCUGAUUUUUUUCAAGAAACUUGCAAAAAGAGGAAGGAGAAGGCAGCAGCAAGAGGGGAAGAGAUCUUACUCAAGGUUAUGCUUGACUUCGAGUUUUUUGGUGGUGAAGUGCGCUGUAACGACCUAAAUUUCUCAAAAAGAAAGGAAAGACAAAGCCGUGGACAAAUGGCUCGAAAUGUACUUAGUGAUUCGAUCAUUAAAUCAGCAUCCAACAGAAAAUCUCGUAUUCAUCGGGUUGGUGAAACUUUUGUU